rnacentral:rRNA from 1 species
GACAUUGUUCAACGGCCGCGGUAUCCUAACCGUGCGAAGGUAGCGUAAUCACUUGUUCUUUAAAUGAGGACUAGUAUGAAAGGCACCACGAGAGUCAUGCUGUCUCCUUUCUCUAAUCAGUGAAACUAAUCUCCCCGUGAAGAAGCGAGGAUAAAAGUAUAAGACGAGAAGACCCUAUGGAGCUUAAAACAAUUAACACCUGCCUCCUUAAUCCUUAAUUUCAGAAAAAUUUCUCUACCUUGGCAUUAUGAUUAUAAGUUUUUGGUUGGGGUGACCACGGAACAAAAAACAACUUCCGCAAUGAAAGACACUCCCACUUAGUUAAGAGCUACAACCCUACACAUCAACAAAUUGACACUAAUUGACCCAACAUGUUGAUCAAUGAACCAAGUUACCCUAGGGAUAACAGCGCAAUCCACUUCAAGAGCCCCUAUCGACAAGUGGGUUUACGACCUCGAUGUUGGAUCAGGGUAUCCUAGUGGUGCAGCCGCUACUAAAGGUUCGUUUGUUCAACGAUUAAAACCCUACGUGAUCUGAGUUCAGAC